CCCAGACGGGGGAACGGCGAACGGCUCAGUAAUGUUGCGGUGAUCUGCUCUGGUUGAGAAAGAUAACCACGGUAAACUGUGGCUAAGAGACCAGAAUGAGCUGCAACCCUAUCAGUUUGUUGGAAGUGUAAAAGACUCCCAAGACGUCGACGGGUAACGGGAAAUCAGUGUUUGAUUCCGGAGAGGGAGCCUGAGAGAUGGCUCCCACGUCCAAGGAUGGCAGCAGGCGCGAAAAUUGUCCACUCUUUGGAGAGGAGACAGUUAUGAGGCGUGAUUAAAAGAGCGAAGUGUAAACACCUUCGUGUAACGCAAUUGGAGGGCAAGUUUUGGUGCCAGCAGCCGCGGUAAUUCCAACUCCAAGAGUGCCCAUGGUGGAUGCUGCAGUUAAAAAGUCCGUAGUCGUAGAUGCAAUUAAAGGGUGCGGAUCAAGCGCACUGAGUUUG
rnacentral:rRNA from 1 species